rnacentral:rRNA from 1 species
GAAUAGGGCGGUACCUUGACGGUACCUAACCAGAAAGCCACGGCUAAUACGUGCCAGCAGCCGCGGUAACUACGUAGGUGGCAAGCGUUGUCCGGAAUUAUUGGGCGUAAAGGGCUCGCAGGCGGUUUCUUAAGUCUGAUGUGAAAGCCCCCGGCUCAACCGGGGAGGGUCAUUGGAAACUGGGGAACUUGAGUGCAGAAGAGGAGAGUGGAAUUCCACGUGUAGCGGUGAAAUGCGUAGAGAUGUGGAGGAACACCAGUGGCGAAGGCGACUCUCUGGUCUGUAACUGACGCUGAGGAGCGAAAGCGUGGGGAGCGAACAGGAUUAGAUACCCUGGUAGUCCACGCCGUAAACGAUGAGUGCUAAGUGUUAGGGGGUUUCCGCCCCUUAGUGCUGCAGCUAACGCAUUAAGCACUCCGCCUGGGGAGUACGGUCGCAAGACUGAAACUCAAAGGAAUUGACGGGGGCCCGCACAAGCGGUGGAGCAUGUGGUUUAAUUUGAAGCAACGCGAAGAACCUUACCAGGUCUUGACAUCCUCUGACAAUCCUAGAGAUAGGACGUCCCCUUCGGGGGCAGAGUGACAGGUGGUGCAUGGUUGUCGUCAGCUCGUGUCGUGAGAUGUUGGGUUAAGUCCCGCAACGAGCGCAACCCUUGAUCUUAGUUGCCAGCAUUCAGUUGGGCACUCUAAGGUGACUGCCGGUGACAAACCGGAGGAAGGUGGGGAUGACGUCAAAUCAUCAUGCCCCUUAUGACCUGGGCUACACACGUGCUACAAUGGACAGAACAAAGGGCAGCGAAACCGCGAGGUUAAGCCAAUCCCACAAAUCUGUUCUCAGUUCGGAUCGCAGUCUGCAACUCGACUGCGUGAAGCUGGAAUCGCUAGUAAUCGCGGAUCAGCAUGCCGCGGUGAAUACG